GACGAACGCUGGCGGCGUGCCUAAUACAUGCAAGUCGAGCGGAGUUGAAAAAAAGUUUACUUUUUUUCUUCUCAGCGGCGGACGGGUGAGUAACACGUGGGCAACCUGCCCUGUAGACUGGGAUAACUUCGGGAAACCGAAGCUAAUACCGGAUAAUCAUAGAAGUUGCAUAGCUUCUAUGUAAAAGUUGGGUUUACCUAACACUACAGGAUGGGCCCGCGUCGCAUUAGCUAGUUGGUAAGGUAACGGCUUACCAAGGCGACGAUGCGUAGCCGACCUGAGAGGGUGAUCGGCCACACUGGGACUGAGACACGGCCCAGACUCCUACGGGAGGCAGCAGUAGGGAAUCUUCCGCAAUGGACGAAAGUCUGACGGAGCAACGCCGCGUGAGCGAUGAAGGCCUUCGGGUCGUAAAGCUCUGUUGUUAGGGAAGAACAAGUGCUAUUCGAAUAGGGUGGCACCUGACGUACCAACGAGAAG
rnacentral:rRNA from 1 species